GUGGACCUCGGAUCAGGUAGGGAUACCCGCUGAACUUAAGCAUAUCAUAAAC
rnacentral:rRNA from 1 species